GGGUUGUGAGGUUAAGCGACUAAGCGUACACGGUGGAUGCCCUGGCAGUCAGAGGCGAUGAAGGACGUGCUAAUCUGCGAUAAGCGUCGGUAAGGUGAUAUGAACCGUUAUAACCGGCGAUUUCCGAAUGGGGAAACCCAGUGUGAUUCGUCACACUAUCAUUAACUGAAUCCAUAGGUUAAUGAGGCGAACCGGGGGAACUGAAACAUCUAAGUACCCCGAGGAAAAGAAAUCAACCGAGAUUCCCCCAGUAGCGGCGAGCGAACGGGGAGCAGCCCAGAGCCUGAAUCAGUGUGUGUGUUAGUGGAAGCGUCUGGAAAGGCGCGCGAUACAGGGUGACAGCCCCGUACACAAAAAUGCACAUGCUGUGAGCUCGAUGAGUAGGGCGGGACACGUGGUAUCCUGUCUGAAUAUGGGGGGACCAUCCU
rnacentral:rRNA from 1 species